GCCAAGGGGUCAAUCUUUGUUGAUUUGGAAGUUCUGCACAGGGUUAUCUUGAUGAACGGCUCAUAUUCUAUUCCUUACUCAGAUUUUAACUUGCAUUCAAUGUAAUUUUGUAUUAGGGGUUCUUUUUUUUAAAAAUCUUGGCAUUACAGUAUCGAGAGCAAGAGGGAAUCUUAGAACUCACUUUGUUCAAACCCCACAUUUUAUAGAAUCACGGCAUCACAGAUUUAAAGCUCAAAGGGUAAAUGGUUUCCAAGUCUCUCAUUUUGUAAAAUGACUUAAGGAAAGACAAGGAUAAAGAUGAAGAAGAUCAAGAAAUGGAGAUUAAGAGGACUAUAGAACUUGAGCCAGAAAGGCCUUUAGAGGUUAUCAAGUCCAACUACCCUCAUUUUACAGAUGAGGAAGGGGAUCCCUGAUAGGAAAGAUUACUUGCUUAUAGUCUUCACAAGUAGUAAGGAGCAGAGCUGAGAUUUGAACUCAGGUCUCCACUCUAAACUCAGUAUGCUUUUCACUUUGGCACACUGCAAUUAUUAUAUUCUGUGAAUAUUAUCCCAAAAUUAUGUUGACUGAAGAAUUUCUCUGUAGAGAAUGUAAGGUUGUCUUGAGAAAUCAUUAUUUUCUUUCUGUGCUCAAGUGUAAAUCCUGGUGGUCAAAGAGGAGACGAGAUAUUUUCAGUUUCAAAACCAAUGGUUUCCACUUGAUGGCCAUGCUUGCCAAAGGGCUGUGGCAUGCUUUCUUAUGCUCCGGGACCACAGUGGUCAAGGAUUGUUGUGUCUACCUUGACAACAGCUUUCAGAUGUGCCCUUCUUUGGCUACACAGCAUCCGCUAUUGUUGACCCUCACCCUUUCUCACCUAUUCGAUUACAGUAACGUUCUAAUUCUCCUCCCUGAUUCUCUUUCCAGUGCAAUCUACCUCCACAAGGGAAAAGACGAUUUUUCUUCCAAAAAAUAAUUGGAAUCCCCCUGGAGUAAUUGGACGACCGACUCUUGUUCACAGAACACCUUCAAGCAGCCCAGGUCCACAGGACCAGUUUCACAUUAUAACACAUACCAGAAGACUGGGAUAUAUUGAUGGAAGAAAUAACCCCAAAUCUCUGAAUCCCUCUGAUGUGUGAACUCUCAUUGGCGGUACAUUAUUAGGGAAAAGAUUGGCGUGCGAACUUCUUGGUACUUAGACAAAAAGCAAAAGCAGCAUCUUGAGUUUUCCGUAUCAUUGCAAGAGAAUAACACCUUCCUGGACAAUCAUUGCUCAUUGCUUUUGUGAAAUAAACUGGACCUUGUGCUAAAUUAGGGAAGGGUA
rnacentral:lncRNA from 1 species